rnacentral:lncRNA from 1 species
GCCCAGACUAUGAAUGAGUCUGCACUGGCGGCAUCACUGCAGCCAACACAAUGGAGUCAGAGGGGAGGAGGCAGCCAGAUGAAUGGAGUUUUCAAAACCAAAUGAUAUAUGAACUGCUGAAAUGAUCUUUAAGAGAUUUACAGAGAAUGAAGAAGUCAAAAAGCUCUGCACACAGACUGCGCUGAACCCUGCAAGUGGAAGUGCACCCCCUCAGCGAGACCCCUGCCCAACUGAGAAAAGAAAAACCCCAACAGAUGCAUUGCCUGAAAGAACAGUGAUGAGAGGAAGACAGCUACUACCUCUCUCAUUCACACCUGCAAGGAGACUGAUUCUCUGAAAAACCACAAGGCACCUGCUGUACCUUGCUGUACCUGCCAUUGCCCUGCUACAGUCACCCCAUCCUGAGACCCCAUAUUUUCCACCCUCUGAGCUGAUAUCUCCUUCCCUUCUUAAACUCCCCCAUAUAAACUGCAUUGCCAUCCUUCCUAAGCCAACAGUCUCUGCCCAUCUGCAACCAGAUGGCAAUAAACUCAUAGCAUGUUGUUUAGACUUUGCCUGCCUCAGUAGUCUCACUCAUCCUCUAGUCAAACCUUACACUUAUGGCACUAAAUUUUCAAUGUUCUUCCCUUUCCUCUCAUCUUCCAGUUC